AUGUGGCCUGUGUCUCUGCUGAGUGAUAGAGCUAUCAUGAGCUGUGCUGCUGUGUGUGCUCCAAGAAAAGGAGGAGAGAAAACAGCAUGGAGGUGGAGGAGAAACGGGAGAUCAUCUGAAAUCUGCAUGGAUGAAAGUGGGACUGUGCCCCCCAACCUGGUGACUCCUCUCCACUUGUACUGGGCAGCAAAAGGAAAGGAUGAUCACUGUGCCUCGUGAAGUUCCACAUUGCUCCGGAUUUCAGAGACAGAUGCUGCUUCGUGUACCCAGGACCUGUUUCAAAUUCAGCUAAUUCAGGUAACUUUCUGGCAGGAUUUGCACGCUUCUUAAUUUUUGAAUGCUUUUUAAACUUUUGUUUCAAUCAAAAUCAUUCCAUGUUUUUGAGAUCCACAAAUAAAGUAGGCAUUAAAAAAGAAUAUUGCA
rnacentral:lncRNA from 1 species